rnacentral:rRNA from 1 species
UACGUAGGUGGCAAGCGUUGUCCGGAAUUACUGGGUGUAAAGGGCGUGUAGGCGGGGAGACAAGUCAGAUGUGAAAUACCGUGGCUUAACUGCGGGGGUGCAUCUGAAACUGUUUCUCUUGAGUGUCGGAGAGGAAAGUGGAAUUCCCAGUGUAGCGGUGAAAUGCGUAGAGAUUGGGAGGAACACCAGCGGCGAAGGCGGCUUUCUGGACGAUAACUGACGCUGAGGCGCGAAAGCGUGGGUAGCAAACAGGAUUAGAUACCCUGGUAGU